rnacentral:rRNA from 1 species
UACAGAGGGUGCAAGCGUUAAUCGGAAUUACUGGGCGUAAAGCGCACGCAGGCGGUUGGUUAAGUCAGAUGUGAAAGCCCCGGGCUCAACCUGGGAAUUGCAUUUGAAACUGGCCAACUAGAGUACGUGAGAGGGGGGUAGAAUUCCAAGUGUAGCGGUGAAAUGCGUAGAGAUUUGGAGGAAUACCAGUGGCGAAGGCGGCCCCCUGGCACGAUACUGACGCUCAGGUGCGAAAGCGUGGGGAGCAAAC